CAACGGAUCUCUUGGUUCUGGCAUCGAUGAAGAACGCAGCGAAAUGCGAUAAGUAAUGUGAAUUGCAGAAUUCAGUGAAUCAUCGAAUCUUUGAACGCACAUUGCGCCCCUUGGUAUUCCGAGGGGCAUGCCUGUUCGAGCGUCAUUUCACCAAUCAAGCCCC
rnacentral:rRNA from 2 species